UACACCUAACAUCCACAAUAACGUGAACAC
rnacentral:sRNA from 1 species